UCUAUUAUCUAUCACCCUGCAGCCCAAGACUGGUUGCCCACUGAAGCUAAGCAGGGUUGAGCCUGGUCAGUACCUGGAUGGGAGACCUCCUGGGAAAACUAGGUUGCUGUUGGAA
rnacentral:rRNA from 1 species